rnacentral:rRNA from 1 species
AUACAGAGGGGGCGAGCGUUAAUAGGAAUUACUGGGCGUAAAGCGCGCGUAGGCGGCUUGGUCAGUCGGAUGUGAAAGCCCCGGGCUCAACCUGGGAAUGGCAUUCGAUACUGCCAGGCUAGAGUAUGGGAGAGGGAAGUGGAAUUUCCGGUGUAGCGGUGAAAUGCGUAGAUAUCGGAAGGAACACCAGUGGCGAAGGCGACUUCCUGGCCCAAUACUGACGCUGAGGUGCGAAAGCGUGGGGAGCGAACAGGAUUAGAAACCCUAGUAGUCC